CUGUGUCUGUAGCAAACCUCUGUGACUGACAGGAUGUUGAUAUGAAGCUGUGUCUGUAUACCUCUGUGACUGACAGGAUGUUGAUAUGAAGCUGUGUCUGUAGCAAACCUCUGUGACUGUCAGGAUGUUGAUAUGAAGCUGUGUCUGUAGCAAACCUCUGUGACAGGAUGUUGAUAUGAAGCUGUGUCUGUAGCAAACCUCUGUGACUGACAGGAUGUUGAUAUGAAGCUGUGUCUGUAUACCUCUGUGACUGACAGGAUGUUGAUAUGAAGCUGUGUCUGUAGCAAACCUCUGUGACUGUCAGGAUGUUGAUAUGAAGCUCUGUCUGUAGCAAACCUCUGUGACAGGAUACUGCAGUGUUGUUGACAUCAGGGAAAACCAAAGGGAGAAAUAGCAGAGUGGCUGUUGACGUUGAGAAUAAGCCAAAGACAACACUCAGUUAGCUUCUCUUCAAAGCAGAGCAAGACAGCAAUUCCAAAGUGCAUUGUGUUUGGGUGAAGCAUACACAAAUCAGACACUUCUUUUACAUCAAUAUCCACAAACUAUCUCUUCUCUGUAACCCUGAUAUACAUCUCUCUGUCCAUCUCACUUCUCACGCUGGAUAUUACAUAGGGGAUAUCACAUAGGGAUUAUUACAUAGGGGAUAUUAGAUAGGGGAUAUUACAUAGGUGAUAUUACAUAGGGAUUAUUACAUAGGGGAUAUUACAUAGGGGAUAUUACAUAGGGAUUAUUACAUAGGGGAUAUUACAUAGGGAUAUUACAUAGGGGAUAUUACAUAGGGAUUAUUACAUAGGGGAUAUUACAUAGGGGAUAUUACAUAGGGAUUAUUACAUAGGGGAUAUUACAUAGGGAUUAUUAAAUAGGGAUUAUUACAUAGGGGAUAUUACAUAGGGGAUAUUAUAUAGGGAUUAUUACAUAGGGAUUAUUACAUAGGGGAUAUUACAUAGGGGAUAUUACAUAGGGAUUAUUACAUAGGGAUUAUUACAUAGGGGAUAUUACAUAGGGGAUAUUAUAUAGGGAUUAUUACAUAGGGGAUAUUACAUAGGGAUUAUUACAUAGGGGAUAUUAUAUAGGGGAUAUUAUAUAGGGGAUAUUAUAUAGGGAUUAUUACAUAGGGAUUAUUACAUAGGGGAUAUUACAUAGGGGAUAUUACAUAGGAGAUAUUAAAUAGGGGAUAUUAGAUAGGGGAUAUUACAUAGGAGAUAUUAAAUAGGGGAUAUUAGAUAGGAGAUAUUACAUAGGAGAUAUUACAUAGGAGAUAUUACAUAUCCAGCCUGAGCCUCCUAACUCCGUACCACAGAAUUUAAUAAACCACUGUGACUUCCCAGCAAACCAAUAACUGAUUCUGUAGAAUUUCGCAAAAGAUUUGUUACAUUGCAGCAAUGCUCUCGGUCAGAUCAUACUGAGGAUUAUUAGAGACAUGAGUUACAGGGAGUUGUCUGGUAUUCACAUGUUGUUCUUUAAGAAGUUACGCAGAACUUUCCCACAGUGUUCCACAUUUUCCAAAUAAGCCUGUUUUAAUGAUGUUCAUUGCAGGGUUAACAUAAUGUACCAUUGGUAUGUUAACACUUUAUUUGACACCUAGUGUCAUAACCAUGUCAUGAUACGGUCAUAACCAUGUCAUGAUACGGUCAUAACCAUG
ensembl:lncRNA